UACGGCUCAGUAACACGUGGAUAACCUGCCCUAAGGAAGGGGAUACCCUCGGGAAACUGAGGAUAAUACCCUAUAGGUUACCGAUGCUGGAAUGCUCGGUAACUCAAAGUUCCGGCGCCUUAGGAUGGAUCUGCGGCCGAUUAGGUAGUUGUUGGGGUAACGGCCCAACAAGCCCGUAAUCGGUACGGGUUGUGGGAGCAAGAGCCCGGAGUUGGAUUCUGAGACACGAAUCCAGGCCCUACGGGGCGCAGCAGGCGCGAAAACUUUACAAUGCGGGCAACCGUGAUAAGGGAACCUCGAGUGCCUGUACAUGCAGGCUGUCUGGGUGUCUAAAACACACCCAAAGAAAGGGCCGGGCAAGACCGGUGCCAGCCGCCGCGGUAAUACCGGCGGCUCGAGUGGUGGCCACUUUUAUUGGGCUUAAAGCGUUCGUAGCUGGGUUGUUAAGUCUCUUGGGAAAUCCGGCGGCUUAACCGUCGGGCGUCUAAGAGAUACUGGCAAUCUUGGAACCGGGAGAGGUGAGGGGUACUUCGGGGGUAGGAGUGAAAUCCUGUAAUCCUCGAGGGACCACCUGUGGCGAAGGCGCCUCACCAGAACGGCUUCGACAGUGAGGGACGAAAGCUGGGGGAGCAAACCGGAUUAGAUACCSGGGUAGUCCCAGCCGUAAACGAUGUGCGUUAGGUGUCUCACACCACGAGUCGUCGAGGUGCCGAAGGGAAACCGUGAAACGUACCG
rnacentral:rRNA from 1 species